GAUGAACGCUAGCUACAGGCUUAACACAUGCAAGUCGAGGGGCAUCAGGAAGAAAGCUUGCUUUCUUUGCUGGCGACCGGCGCACGGGUGAGUAACACGUAUCCAACCUGCCCUUUACUCGGGGAUAGCCUUUCGAAAGAAAGGUUAAUACCCGAUGGCAUAAUGAUUCCGCAUGGUUUCAUUAUUAAAGAAUUUCGGUCAUCGAUGGGGAUGCGUUCCAUUAGGUUGUUGGCGGGGUAACGCCCACCAAGCCUUCGAUGGAUAGGGGUUCUGAGAGGAAGGUCCCCCACAUUGGAACUGAGACACGGUCCAA
rnacentral:rRNA from 1 species